UACGGGGGGAGCAAGCGUUGUUCGGAUUUAUUGGGCGUAAAGAGCGUGUAGGCGGCUAUACAGGUCCGCAUGUGAAAACUCGAGGCUCAACCUCGAGACGUCGGAUGGAAACCGUAUGGCUAGAGUCCGGAAGAGGAGAGUGGAAUUCCUGGUGUAGCGGUAGAAAUGCGCAGAUAUCAGGAGGAACACCGGUGGCGAAGGCGGUUCUCUGGGCAUGAUCUGACGCUGAGGAGCGAAAGUGUGGGGAGCGAACAGG
rnacentral:rRNA from 1 species